AUUGAACGCUGGCGGCAGGCCUAACACAUGCAAGUCGAGCGAGCGGCGGACGGGUGAGUACUGUCUGGGCAACUGCCUGCUGGAGGGGGGUAACUACUGGAAACGGUAGCUAAUACCCCAUACCCUCCCAUGUGCCCCCAUGGGAUUAGCUAGUAGGUGGGGUAAUGGCUCACCUAGGCGACGACGCCUCGCUGGUCUGAGAGGAUGACCAGCCACACUGGAACUGAGACACGGUCCAGACUCCUACGGGAGGCAGCAGUGGGGAAUAUUGCACAAUGGGCGCAAGCCUGAUGCAGCCAUGCCGCGUGUGUGAAGAAGGCCUUCGGGUUGUAAAGCACUUGCAGCGGGGAGGCGUUACCCGCAGAAGAAGCACCGGCUAACUCCGUGCCAGCAGCCGCGGUAAUUC
rnacentral:rRNA from 1 species